GGCUUAGAGUUUGAUCAUGGCUCAGGAUGAACGCUGGCGGCGUGCCUAACACAUGCAAGUCGAGCGAAGCACUUUACUUUGAGAUCUUCGGAAGGAUAAGUUUUGUGACUGAGCGGCGGACGGGUGAGUAACGCGUGGGUAACCUGCCUCAUACAGGGGGAUAACAGUUAGAAAUGACUGCUAAUACCGCAUAAGACCACAGCACCGCAUGGUGCAGGGGUAAAAACUCCGGUGGUAUGAGAUGGACCCGCGUCUGAUUAGCUAGUUGGUAAGGUAACGGCUUACCAAGGCAACGAUCAGUAGCCGACCUGAGAGGGUGACCGGCCACAUUGGGACUGAGACACGGCCCAAACUCCUACGGGAGGCAGCAGUGGGGAAUAUUGCACAACGGGGGAAACCCUGAUGCAGCGACGCCGCGUGAGCGAAGAAGUAUUUCGGUAUGUAAAGCUCUAUCAGCAGGGAAGAAACUGACGGUACCUGACUAAGAAGCACCGGCUAAAUACGUGCCAGCAGCCGCGGUAAUACGUAUGGUGCAAGCGUUAUCCGGAUUUACUGGGUGUAAAGGGAGCGUAGACGGAUAGGCAAGUCUGGAGUGAAAGCCCGGGGCUCAACCCCGGGACUGCUUUGGAAACUGUUUAUCUAGAGUGCUGGAGAGGUAAGUG
rnacentral:rRNA from 1 species